rnacentral:rRNA from 1 species
UACGUAGGGGGCUAGCGUUGUCCGGAUUUAUUGGGCGUAAAGAGCGUGUAGGCGGCCAGGUAGGUCCGUUGUGAAAACUCGAGGCUCAACCUCGAGACGUCGGCGGAAACCCUCUGGCUAGAGUCCGGAAGAGGAGAGUGGAAUUCCUGGUGUAGCGGUGAAAUGCGCAGAUAUCAGGAAGAACACCCGUGGCGAAGGCGGCUCUCUGGGACGGUACUGACGCUGAGACACGAAAGCGUGGGUAGCAAACAGG